rnacentral:miRNA from 14 species
UGUCUGAAGACAGCUACAGUGUGUAUGUAUGUGUGUGUGUGUGUGUGUGUGUGUGUGUGUGUAUAUAUAUACACACACACACACACAUAUGUAUAUAUG